rnacentral:rRNA from 1 species
AACGAACGCUGGCGGCAUGCCUAACACAUGCAAGUCGAACGAAGGCUUCGGCCUUAGUGGCGCACGGGUGCGUAACGCGUGGGAAUCUGCCCAAAGGUUCGGAAUAACUCAGGGAAACUUGAGCUAAUACCGGAUGAUGUCGCAAGACCAAAGAUUUAUCGCCUUUGGAUGAGCCCGCGUAGGAUUAGCUUGUUGGUGGGGUAAUGGCCCACCAAGGCGACGAUCCUUAGCUGGUCUGAGAGGAUGAUCAGCCACACUGGGACUGAGGCACGGCCCAGACUCCUACGGGAGGCAGCAGUGGGGAAUAUUGGACAAUGGGCGAAAGCCUGAUCCAGCAAUGCCGCGUGAGUGAUGAAGGCCUUAGGGUUGUAAAGCUCUUUUACCCGGGAUGAUAAUGACAGUACCGGGAGAAUAAGCUCCGGCUAACUCCGUGCCAGCAGCCGCGGUAAUACGGAGGGAGCUAGCGUUGUUCGGAAUUACUGGGCGUAAAGCGCAC